CCUACGGGCGGCAGCAGUGAGGAAUAUUGGUCAAUGGGCGCGAGCCUGAACCAGCCAAGUAGCGUGAAGGAUGACUGCCCUACGGGUUGUAAACUUCUUUUAUAAAGGAAUAAAGUGAGGCACGUGUGCCUUUUUGUAUGUACUUUAUGAAUAAGGAUCGGCUAACUCCGUGCCAGCAGCCGCGGUGAGACGGUGGAACGGAGCGUUAUCCGGAUUUAUUGGGUUGAAAGUGAGCGUAGAUGGGUUGUUAAGUCAGUUGUGAAAGUUUGCGGCUUAACCGUAAAAUUGCAAUUGAUACUAGCAGUCUUGAGUACAGUUGAGGUAGGCGGAAUUCGUGGUGUAGCGGUGGAAUGCUUAGAUAUCACGAAGAAAUCCGAUUGCGAAGGCAGCUUACUAAACUGCCACUGAAAUUGAUGGUCGAAAGUGUGGGUAUCAAACAGGAUUAGAUACCCCUUGUAGUC
rnacentral:rRNA from 1 species